rnacentral:antisense_RNA from 1 species
UGUGGGAGCUGGCUUGCCUGCGAUACAGGCAACUCGGUGGGUCUGUCAGACCUGGGUGAUGCUAUCGCAGGCAAGCCAGCUCCCACA